AUAGGCCUCAGUGUGUGUUGUUUCCCGCUGUGUGUUUAUUUGGUCUCGUCGUUUACCUCCCACUUAUAAGGGAAAAAAUAUGGUAUUUGGUUUUCUGUUCUUGCAUUAGUUUGCUAAGGAUAAUAGCCUCCAGCUCCAUCCAUUUUCCUGUAAAGGACAUGAUAUUCUUUUGUAUGGCUGCGUAGUGUUCCAUGGCGUAUAUGUACCACAUUUUCUUUAUGCAGUCCACCAUUGAUGGGCAUUUAGGCUGAUUCCAUGUUCUUGCUAUUGUGAAUAGUGCUGCAAUGAACAUAUGCAUGAAUGUGCCUUCUUAAUAGAACACUUUUUAUUUCUUUGAGUAUAUGCUCAGUAAUGGGAUUGCUGGGUUAAAUGAUAUUUCUGUUUUUAGGUCUUUGUGGAAUCUCCACACUGCCUUCCACAAUGAUUGAACUAAUUGAGACAUCCACCAAUUGGUUAGAUGGCUGGUGUUAGAUGGUAUCAUAUUGUGGUUUUGAUUUGCAUUUCUUUAAGGAUCAGUGAGGUUGAGCUUUUCUUCAUAUGAUUGUUAGCUACAUAUGUAUCUUCUGUUGAAAGUGUCUGUUCAUGUCCUUUGCCCUCUUUUUUAUAGGGUUGAUUUUUUUUUCUUGAACAUUUGUUUAAGUUCCUUAUAGAUGCUGGAUAUUAGACCUUGGUCAGACACAUAGGUUGCAAAGCUUUUCUCCCAUUCUGUAAGUUGUCUGUAUAUUCUGUUGAUAGUUUUCUUCUGCUGUGCACAAGCUCUUAAGUUUACUUGGAUUUAAUUUGCCAGUUUUUGCUUUUGUUUGCAAAUAUUUACUCCCAUUCUUUAGGUGUCUUUAUUUUUGAUGGUGUAGUGUGAAUCACAAAAGUUUCAAAUUCUAAUGAGGUUUAAUAUACCUGUUUUCUCUUCUUCCCUUUUGCUUUCAGCAUCAUAUCUUAGGAAAGACUGUUUAAGACCACGAAGAUGUAUUCCUGUUGUUAUUUUCUAUAUUUUGGGCCUGUUUAGCUAUUAUAUAGAGAUAUAUGAUCAUUUUGAGUCAAUUACAUUUUCAGUGUGAGGCAGGAGAUGAACUUACAUGGAAUAUGCACUUGUUUCAAAAAUAUUUGCGUAAAAAUAUUUAUCCAUAUAUAAUUUAUUUGGUGAUAUUAUAAAAUUAUUUCACUAUAAAUAUAAGUAUUCAUUUUUGAGCAUUAUAUUCUAUUAUAUUGAUCAACAUCUAUUUUCUUAUACUAGUACCAUAAAUCUUGAUUACUAUUACUUUGUAGUGAGUUUUGAAUUCAGGAAGUAUGUAUCUCCCAUGCCAACCUUUUUUCUUCUUUCUCAAAAUUAUUUAGGCUGCUCUGGGUCUAUUGCAUUAUAUAUGAAUUUUAGAUAAACUUUGUGAAUUUAGAGAAAGGAAAUGUCACCUGGGAUUUUGAUAGAGGUUGCAUUAAAUCUAUAGAUGCAUUUGGAAAAUAUUGCCAGCCUAACAACAUUAACCUUUAUAAGCAAUGAAUAGUCAAAGUUUUUUUUCCAUUUAUUUUUUAACAAAAUUUCUUCUAUAGUUUUGUGUAUAUAUCUUAUACUUAAUUUGAGAAACUUAUUUUUGUUGUCAUCUCAAAUGGAACAUUCUGAGUUUUUUGUUUUAGACUGUCAGUUGCUAGCAUAUGGAAAUUCAGAGGAUUUUAUAUAUUGACCUUAUAUACUGCAAGUUUGUUGAACUCAUUUGUAAAUUCUAAACAUAUUUCAUUAGAGUCCUUUCGAAAUUUUAUACAUGAGAUCAUGUCAUAUGCCAACAGACAGAGUUUGACUUUCUUUCCAUACCGGAAGCUUUAUAUUUAUUUUUCUAGACUAAUUGCCAUGUCUAUAUCCUCCAGCAUAAUGUUGAAAACAAAGGUCAAGAGUGGAAAUCCUUGUCUUGUUUCUAAUCUUGGAGAAAUUAGUGAACCUUUCAGAUAACCUAUGAUGACAUGUUGGUUUUUCAUGGAUCCUCUUUAAAAGGAAGACAGUUCCCUUAUCUGCCUCAUUUGCUGCAUAUUUUUCUCAUAGGGAGUUUGAGAAUUCUCAAGUGCCUAUGCAUCUUCUGAGACGACUAUGUGGUUUUUUUUCUUUAUUGUAUGAAUAUAGUGCAUAGCACUAGUUGUAUUGUAUGUUGAACCAAAUUUUGCUUUUCUGAGGUAUUUACCUUGACAUAGUGUGUAAUAAUUUUUACAUGUUUCUGGUUUGUUUUACUAAUAUUUCCUUGAUGAUUUUUGCCCCUGUAUUCAUAAGGUAUAUGUCUUUGUCUGGUUGUGGUAUCAGGGUAAACUAACUCAGUAUACAAUGGGAAAUCAUGUCUUCUCCACUUUAUGGGAAUAAUUUGUAAUAAAUUAGUAUUAAUUGUUUAAGUGAUUCGAAUAAUUCACUAAUGAAUUCUUCUUGAUGAGGUCAGAGAGGUUAAUCCUAAGAACAGUUACAUGAGCUUGGAAGGAGACCUUUCCCCAGCUGAGCCUUAGCCUGGGCCGUCACCUACAUCUGGACUGAAGAACCAGAGAAACUACUCCAUCAGGAAUUGUUUGGGACCGUGCAUUCUGUUGACACUCACAUUGUGGAAUUAUGUUGCCCACUGCCAACCCUAAAGCCACCAAGGUAGCAGGUAUGGAAUAAUUAAUCAGUGAAGUCUUCUCAACCUGGUCAAUCACGUGAACUUGGAAGAUGAUUCCUCCCCAGCUGAUCCUUCAGGUGAGACCUCAGCCUUGGCCAUCAUCCACAUCUGGAUUCCUGACCCAGAGAAACUGGUCUCAAGUCACCCAGGCUGGAGUCCAGUGGCACAAUUACGGCUCACUGUAGCCUCACCUUCCUGGGAUCAAGCAAUCCUCUUUCUUCAGCCUCCAGAGGAGCUGGGACCACAG